rnacentral:rRNA from 1 species
GUUUGAUUCUGGCUCAGAACGAACGCUGGCGGCAUGCCUAACACAUGCAAGUCGAACGAGACCUUCGGGUCUAGUGGCGCACGGGUGCGUAACGCGUGGGAAUCUGCCCUUGGGUACGGAAUAACAGUGAGAAAUUACUGCUAAUACCGUAUGAUGACGUAAGUCCAAAGAUUUAUCGCCUAGGGAUGAGCCCGCGUAGGAUUAGCUAGUUGGUGGGGUAAAGGCCUACCAAGGCGACGAUCCUUAGCUGGUCUGAGAGGAUGAUCAGCCACACUGGGACUGAGACACGGCCCAGACUCCUACGGGAGGCAGCAGUGGGGAAUAUUGGACAAUGGGCGAAAGCCUGAUCCAGCAAUGCCGCGUGAGUGAUGAAGGCCUUAGGGUUGUAAAGCUCUUUUGUCCGGGACGAUAAUGACGGUACCGGAAGAAUAAGCCCCGGCUAACUUCGUGCCAGCAGCCGCGGUAAUACG